rnacentral:rRNA from 1 species
GCCAGUGGUGAACUCCACAUACGCAUCCUUUGCUGAGGAUACGGUUAACGGAGCGAAAGCGACGUUCAACCUCAAAAGAAGCAGAGGGGGCUUAGUGGUGGGGUGACUGCGUACCUUUUGUAUAAUGGGUCAGCGACUUAUAUUCUGUAGCAAGGUUAACCGAAUAGGGGAGCCGGAGGGAAACCGAGUCUUAACCGGGCGUUAAGUUGCAGGGUAUAGACCCGAAACCCGGUGAUCUAGCCAUGGGCAGGUUGAAGGUUGGGUAACACUAACUGGAGGACCGAACCGACUAAUGUUGAAAAAUUAGCGGAUGACCUGUGGCUGGGGGUGAAAGGCCAAUCAAACCGGGAGAUAGCUGGUUCUCCCCGAAAGCUAUUUAGGUAGCGCCUCGUGAAUUCAUCUCCGGGGGUAGAGCACUGUUUCGGCUAGGGGGUCAUCCCGACUUACCAACCCGAUGCAAACUGCGAAUACCGGAGAAUGUUAUCACGGGAGACACACGGCGGGUGCUAACGUCCGUCGUGAAGAGGGAAACAACCCAGACCGCCAGCUAAGGUCCCAAAGUCAUGGUUAAGUGGGAAACGAUGUGGGAAGGCCCAGACAGCCAGGAUGUUGGCUUAGAAGCAGCCAUCAUUUAAAGAAAGCGUAAUAGCUCACUGGUCGAGUCGGCCUGCGCGGAAGAUGUAACGGGGCUAAACCAUGCACCGAAGCUGCGGCAGCGAACGUAUCACCCAAGACAACUUUACGGAGUUGACGAUUGAUGGAGCGAAGCGACGUCAAAGCGUUCAUUAAAGUCGAGUUGGCUUAGGGAUACGUUCGUUGGGUAGGGGAGCGUUCUGUAAGCCUGUGAAGGUGGCCUGUGAGGGUUGCUGGAGGUAUCAGAAGUGCGAAUGCUGACAUAAGUAACGAUAAAGCGGGUGAAAAGCCCGCUCGCCGGAAGACCAAGGGUUCCUGUCCAACGUUAAUCGGGGCAGGGUGAGUCGACCCCUAAGGCGAGGCCGAAAGGCGUAGUCGAUGGGAAACGGGUUAAUAUUCCCGUACUUGGUGUUACUGCGAAGGGGGGACGGAGAAGGCUAUGUUGGCCGGGCGACGGUUGUCCCGGUUUAAGCGUGUAGGUGUGUGUUCCAGGUAAAUCCGGUUCACUUUAACACUGAGGCGUGAUGACGAGGCACUACGGUGCUGAAGCAACAAAUGCCCUGCUUCCAGGAAAAGCCUCUAAGCAUCAGGUAACAUCAAAUCGUACCCCAAACCGACACAGGUGGUCAGGUAGAGAAUACCAAGGCGCUUGAGAGAACUCGGGUGAAGGAACUAGGCAAAAUGGUGCCGUAACUUCGGGAGAAGGCACGCUGACACGUAGGUGAAGUGAUUUACUCAUGGAGCUGAAGUCAGUCGAAGAUACCAGCUGGCUGCAACUGUUUAUUAAAAACACAGCACUGUGCAAACACGAAAGUGGACGUAUACGGUGUGACGCCUGCCCGGUGCCGGAAGGUUAAUUGAUGGGGUCAGCGCAAGCGAAGCUCCUGAUCGAAGCCCCGGUAAACGGCGGCCGUAACUAUAACGGUCCUAAGGUAGCGAAAUUCCUUGUCGGGUAAGUUCCGACCUGCACGAAUGGCGUAAUGAUGGCCAGGCUGUCUCCACCCGAGACUCAGUGAAAUUGAACUCGCUGUGAAGAUGCAGUGUACCCGCGGCAAGACGGAAAGACCCCGUGAACCUUUACUAUAGCUUGACACUGAACAUUGAGCCUUGAUGUGUAGGAUAGGUGGGAGGCUUUGAAGUGUGGACGCCAGUCUGCAUGGAGCCGACCUUGAAAUACCACCCUUUAAUGUUUGAUGUUCUAACGUGGACCCGUGAUCCGGGUUGCGGACAGUGUCUGGUGGGUAGUUUGACUGGGGCGGUCUCCUCCUAAAGAGUAACGGAGGAGCACGAAGGUUGGCUAAUCCUGGUCGGACAUCAGGAGGUUAGUGCAAUGGCAUAAGCCAGCUUGACUGCGAGCGUGACGGCGCGAGCAGGUGCGAAAGCAGGUCAUAGUGAUCCGGUGGUUCUGAAUGGAAGGGCCAUCGCUCAACGGAUAAAAGGUACUCCGGGGAUAACAGGCUGAUACCGCCCAAGAGUUCAUAUCGACGGCGGUGUUUGGCACCUCGAUGUCGGCUCAUCACAUCCUGGGGCUGAAGUAGGUCCCAAGGGUAUGGCUGUUCGCCAUUUAAAGUGGUACGCGAGCUGGGUUUAGAACGUCGUGAGACAGUUCGGUCCCUAUCUGCCGUGGGCGCUGGAGAACUGAGGGGGGCUGCUCCUAGUACGAGAGGACCGGAGUGGACGCAUCACUGGUGUUCGGGUUGUCAUGCCAAUGGCACUGCCCGGUAGCUAAAUGCGGAAGAGAUAAGUGCUGAAAGCAUCUAAGCACGAAACUUGCCCCGAG